ACGCAGCUUAAGCUCUAGCAGAUAUGGCAGCCACAUUAACCUGUUUCUGCAGAUUCAACUUAAUCCCCUUUUACUUUUCCGAUUAGAAUCCUUGUCCAUCAAACGUCUGGCUCUUAAACUAAAGAACAUUGAAACUUACAAGGACAACAAGAACCUCGAGAAAGGCAAAAAUAUCAGUAAGGAGCUCAUUGAAGCCAUCGAAGACUCGAUAUUCUACGCAUUUUCAUCUUGGUGCUUGGAUGAGCUUGUCAAGACUAUGGAGUGCCAAAAGACGCACACUGAGAGAAGACAAGACUGUUUACCCUAUCUUUUAUGAUGUGAAACACAAUGAAGUCCGCAAUCAAAGUGGGCCAUUUAGGACAACUACUGAUGGGUAAUUCUUCGUUUGUUUCUUUUCAUGUUUUAUUGUCAUCAAACUCCAACUCGAACUUGAGUACUCUUCUCAAAUAUUAAACUGAAAUAUGAUUAUAUAUGUGACUCCAUAAUUACUUCU